rnacentral:rRNA from 1 species
GACGAACGCUGGCGGCGUGCCUAAUACAUGCAAGUAGAACGCACAGGAUGCACCGUAGUUUACUACACCGUAUUCUGUGAGUUGCGAACGGGUGAGUAACGCGUAGGUAACCUGCCUGGUAGCGGGGGAUAACUAUUGGAAACGAUAGCUAAUACCGUAUAAGAACAUUUACUGCAUGGUAGAUGUUUAAAAGGUGCAAGAGCAUCACUACCAGAUGGACCUGCGUUGUAUUAGCUAGUUGGUGAGGUAACGGCUCACCAAGGCAACGAUACAUAGCCGACCUGAGAGGGUGAUCGGCCACACUGGGACUGAGACACGGCCCAGACUCCCACGGGAGGCAGCAGUAGGGAAUCUUCGGCAAUGGGGGGAACCCUGACCGAGCAACGCCGCGUGAGUGAAGAAGGUUUUCGGAUCGUAAACGC